rnacentral:rRNA from 1 species
UACGAAGGGGGCUAGCGUUGCUCGGAAUCACUGGGCGUAAAGCGCACGUAGGUGGGUCGUUAAGUCGGGGGUGAAAUCCCAGAGCUCAACUCUGGAACUGCCUUCGAUACUGGCGACCUUCGAGUUCGGGAGAGGUGAGUGGAACUGCGAGUGUAGAGGUGAAAUUCGUAGAUAUUCGCAAGAACACCAGUGGCGAAGGCGGCUCACUGGCCCGAUACUGACACUGAGGUGCGAAAGCGUGGGGAGCAAACAGGG